CUCACCUACGGGGGGCAGCAGUGGGGGAUAUUGCACAAUGGGGGGAACCCUGAUGCAGCGACGCCGCGUGGGCGAUGGAGUGCUUCGGCAUGUAAAGCCCUAUCAGCAGGGAAGAAAAUGACGGUACCUGACCAAGAAGCCCCGGCUAACUACGUGCCAGCAGCCGCGGUAAUACGUAGGGGGCAAGCGUUAUCCGGAAUUACUGGGUGUAAAGGGAGCGAAGACGGUUAAGUAAGUCUGGAGUGAAAGGCCGGGGCCCAACCCCGGGGCUGCUCUGGAA
rnacentral:rRNA from 1 species